UUGGAAACUCCCACCAAACGAGGUGAUCAUGGUUGGAGACAGCCCCAAGGAUGAUAUUGUUUGUGGAAAGAGAGCUGGUGCUUUCACUUGCCUACUUGACGAAACAGGGCGAUAUGGCCCCCAUGAUUCUUUGCCUGAAGAUGUUAAGCCUGACUUCAUGGUUUCUUCACUCUCUGAAGUAUUAUCCGUGUUGGAGGAGCAUUUCCAUUUGGAUCCGGUGUUAUCGGCUGACAGUAGAAUCUGACAUGAAUGGUUUUGUAAGCUGUCUUCCGAGUGAGGAAACAUGUUUGUACACCUUAAUGUAAUACGGUACAUGUCGAGAAGUA